GUAUUAAAGGUGCUGCCUGCCCAGUGAGACAAUUUUAACGGCCGCGGUAUCCUAACCGUGCAAAGGUAGCGUAAUCACUUGUCUUUUAAAUAAAGACUAGUAUGAAAGGCUAAAUGAAGACGAAACUGUCUCAUAUAGUUGACCAGUUAAACUGAUCUCCAAGUACAAAAGCUUGGAUAAAUACAUAAGACGAGAAGACCCUGUGGAGCUUAAAACUAACACUAUACCAACAAAAUAGCACAAGUUUUAAGUUGGGGCGACUUCGGAACAAAGUAAAACUUCCGAGCACAGAGCCACCCCUCUAACCUAGACCAACAAGUCAAAGAACAAAAAUGACCCAGUCUAACUGAUCAACGAACCAAGUUACCCCAGGGAUAACAGCGCCAUCUUCUUCAAGAGUUCAUAUCGACAAGAAGGUUUACGACCUCGAUGUUGGAUCAGGACACCCUAAUGGUGCAGCAG
rnacentral:rRNA from 1 species